rnacentral:rRNA from 1 species
GAUUAACGCUGGCGGCGUGCCUAACACAUGCAAGUCGAGCGGCAGCGCGUUUUACACUGAAUUCUGGAAGCUUCUAGUUGAAAGAGAAGAUUUAUUCAAGAAUUUUGUGUAAAAUGUCGGCGAGCGGCGGACGGCUGAGUAACGCGUGGGAACGUACCCCAAAGUGAGGGAUAACGCAGCGAAAGGUGUGCUAAUACCGCAUAUGGUCUUCGGAUUAAAGCCUUCGGGCGCUUUGGGAACGGCCUGCGUAAGAUUAGAUAGUUGGUGGGGUAAUGGCCUACCAAGUCGACGAUCUUUAACUGGUUUGAGAGGAUGAUCAGUCAGACUGGAACUGAGACACGGUCCAGACUCCUACGGGAGGCAGCAGUGAGGAAUCUUCCACGAUGGGCGAAAGCCUGAUGGAGCAACGCCGCGUGCAGGAUGAAGGCCUUCGGGUUGUAAACUGCUUUUAUAAGUGAGGAUUAUGACAGUAACUUAUGAAUAAGGAUCGGCUAACUACGUG